rnacentral:lncRNA from 1 species
UAUAUAUUCUUUUUUAUCUCUCUACACCGAAGGUUGCUGGUGGGCUCAAAAGAUAUUCCUGAAGAGUCAAGUUAUGGGGAAGCAUCCUAGGAAAGGAGAGGCAGGACAAGCAGACUAUUCCUGGGAAGCUAGACUUACUGAUAACAGUAGAACUCUCCAUGGCUCCAACUGAUGUCUUCGCCUGGGGUUAUUCUCUAUAGGUGACUCUGAUAAUCUCUCCAUCUCUCCCGCAGCAUCUAGCACAGGGCUCGAAUGCUCGCUGUCUGAGUAACACAGGUGUGCACAAUGAGUGGUCUCAGGUGAGGGAAGAGAAAAAGCACAGAGCUUGCAAAAGGCAGAGAUCUGCAGCUUAUUCCCAAUGCAAGACGGAGCUGAUAAGCAAGCUGGCAGGAAUGAUGCGCUGCAUUUUUCAGAGGAUCUUGAGGCCUGUGACUUUCCACAUGGAGAAGAGAACCCUGGUUCUUGUCCACAUCUCAACCAGCAAAGCUGCUCUUAGCUGAAGGGCUCGGAAGAAAGCAGGACGAUUGCCUGAGAUCCAGUAGUCCCUUUUGCAAUAAAGCUAUGAUGUAAGUAAUCAUAUGUAAAAGGUUUUUAAACUUUAGCUAUAGGAAAUUGGGAGCCAAACUUUAAUACAUCAAACUUGACUUCAUUUUAAAAAUUGCCUACCUGAGAAGGGAGAAAUCUCUAUAAAGACAUCAAAGUUCUAAGAUCUGUAAG